GGAAGCGUGCCAGAGUGGUUGAAUGGGGCGGUCUCGAAAACCGCUAGACCUGCAAAGGUCUCGGAGGUUCGAAUCCUCCCGCUUCCG
rnacentral:tRNA from 1 species